rnacentral:rRNA from 1 species
GAUGAACGCUGGCGGCGUGCCUAAUACAUGCAAGUCGAGCGAAUGGAUUAAGAGCUUGCUCUUAUGAAGUUAGCGGCGGACGGGUGAGUAACACGUGGGUAACCUGCCCAUAAGACUGGGAUAACUCCGGGAAACCGGGGCUAAUACCGGAUAACAUUUUGAAACGCAUGGUUCGAAAUUGAAAGGCGGCUGCGGCUUGCACUUAUGCAUGGACCGGCGUCGCAUUAGCUAGUUGGUGAGGUACCGGCUCACCAAGGCAACGAUGCUUAGCCGACCUGAGAGGGUGAUCGGCCACACUGGGACUGAGACACGGCCCAGACUCCUACGGGAGGCAGCAGUAGGGAAUCUUCCGCAAUGGACGAAAGUCUGACGGAGCAACGCCGCGUGAGUGAUGAAGGCUUUCGGGUCGUAAAACUCUGUUGUUAGGGAAGAACAAGUGCUAGUUGAAUAAGCUGGCACCUUGACGGUACCUAACCAGAAAGCCACGGCUAACUACGUGCCAGCCGCCGCAGUAA